rnacentral:rRNA from 1 species
AGUGAACGCUGGCGGUAGGCCUAACACAUGCAAGUCGAACGGCAGCACAGUAAGAGCUUGCUCUUACGGGUGGCGAGUGGCGGACGGGUGAGGAAUACAUCGGAAUCUACUUUUUCGUGGGGGAUAACGUAGGGAAACUUACGCUAAUACCGCAUACGUCCUACGGGUGAAAGCAGGGGAUCUUCGGACCUUGCGCGAUUGAAUGAGCCGAUGUCGGAUUAGCUAGUUGGCGGGGUAAAGGCCCACCAAGGCGACGAUCCGUAGCUGGUCUGAGAGGAUGAUAAGCCACACUGGAACUGAGACACGGUCCAGACUCCUACGGGAGGCAGCAGUGGGGAAUAUUGGACAAUGGGCGAAAGCCUGAUCCAGCCAUACCGCGUGGGUGAAGAAGGCCUUCGGGUUGUAAAGCCCUUUUGUUGGGAAAGAAAAGCAGCAGGUUAAUACCCCGCUGUUCUGACGGUACCCAAAGAAUAAGCACCGGCUAACUUCGUG